CUUCCGUAGGUGAACCUGCGGAAGGAUCAUUACCUAGAGUUUGUAGACUUCGGUCUGCUACCUCUUACCCAUGUCUUUUGAGUACCUUCGUUUCCUCGGCGGGUCCGCCCGCCGAUUGGACAACAUUCAAACCCUUUGCAGUUGCAAUCAGCGUCUGAAAAAACAUAAUAGUUACAACUUUCAACAACGGAUCUCUUGGUUCUGGCAUCGAUGAAGAACGCAGCGAAAUGCGAUAAGUAGUGUGAAUUGCAGAAUUCAGUGAAUCAUCGAAUCUUUGAACGCACAUUGCGCCCCUUGGUAUUCCAUGGGGCAUGCCUGUUCGAGCGUCAUUUGUACCUUCAAGCUCUGCUUGGUGUUGGGUGUUUGUCUCGCCUCUGCGUGUAGACUCGCCUUAAAACAAUUGGCAGCCGGCGUAUUGAUUUCGGAGCGCAGUACAUCUCGCGCUUUGCACUCAUAACGACGACGUCCAAAAGUACAUUUUUACACUCUUGACCUCGGAUCAGGUAGGGAUACCCGCUGAACUUAAGCAUAUCAAUAAGCGGAGGAA
rnacentral:rRNA from 2 species